UACGAAGGGGGCUAGCGUUGUUCGGAAUUACUGGGCGUAAAGGGCGCGUAGGCGGCGCAUCAAGUCAGGUGUGAAAUCUCCACGCUCAACGUGGAGGCGCCACCUGAAACUGCCGUGACUCGAGUCCGGUAGGGGAGUGUGGAAUUCCCGGUGUAGCGGUGAAAUGCGCAGAUAUCGGGAGGAACACCUGUGGCGAAGGCGGCUUUCUGGGCCUUACCUGACGGCUGAGACGCGAAAGCGUGGGGAGCGAACCGG
rnacentral:rRNA from 1 species